GUCCAGGGAAGGGAAACAAACCCACAGUGUUCCGCUUACCGGGCAGAUGCCAUGCCCACUAGGCUACCCUGGA
rnacentral:tRNA from 1 species